rnacentral:rRNA from 1 species
AACCUUUACACUGCACGACAGUGCGAUAGGGGGACUCCGAGUGCGAGGGCAUACAGUCCUCGCUUUUCUGUACCGUAAGGUGGUACAGGAAUAAGUGCUGGGCAAGACCGGUGCCAGCCGCCGCGGUAAUACCGGCAGCACGAGUGAUGGCCGAUAUUAUUGGGCCUAAAGCGUCCGUAGCCGGCCAGACAAGUCCGUUGGGAAAUCGACGUGCCUAACACGUCGGCGUCCAGCGGAAACUGUCUGGCUUGGGGCCGGAAGACUCGAGGGGUACGUCCGGGGUAGGAGUGAAAUCCCGUAAUCCUGGACGGACCGCCGAUGGCGAAAGCACCUCGAGAGGACGGACCCGACGGUGAGGGACGAAAGCUAGGGUCUCGAACCGGAUUAGAUACCCGGGUAGUCCUAGCCGUAAACAAUGCUCGCUAGGUGUGGCGCAGGCUACGAGCCUGCGCUGUGCCGUAGGGAAGCCGUGAAGCGAGCCGCCUGGGAAGUACGUCCGCAAGGAUGAAACUCAA